AACAACCUUGCUUUGUGUGGGUUUGAUUCAACUUUGCUACGAUCUCAUAACAAAGUUCAAUGCCUUUUAUUAUCAUGUCACACCUCUGAAGCAUUAUCAGAAGAUAGAGGGCUCCUUGGUUGCUGUAUAUUAUCUAUUCCCGUCCUGCAGUUGAUCAAGGCCAAAAUCGUCUUUAUCAAAUGCUAGAAGUCUGAAUGAUAUAAACAAACUAAGCUUGAAUGAGUUAUUGGGGUCCGGCAGAGAGGGCACUCAGGCUUUUCAUUGCACCAUUCCAUUAUGCAAUUCCAGCAGAACACAUGACCGCAAGCUGUAGCAGUUGGGUACUGCCGAUUACUCAAGCAGAGUGUGCAUUUGCUCACCCCAUUUGCUCCGUAAGACUCUGAAGUUGAUGUGGAAUCUGACAACCAACCUCCCCUGCCCGUCUCCAUAGGUAUCAAAUUACCUUCUUCAUUUAGGACAGGCAAACGUCGCCCUGAACUUUGAUGGGGAUCAAUGGAGGUCUGAUGAACUGAACUUGCAAUAGAAGAUAUAUUGCUGCGGCGCAGACCUUCAGCAGCAAUAAUACAUAGCUGAAUUAGAAGGAACACACCCAGUAUUUGGUAUCUUGGUCUUUGAUUUGAUGGCUUUCCAAUGAAAACAUAACGAAUGCCAGCUGCACGUUUCGAUAUAUGAUAAUACAAACCUUCAAAGUAGAAAAACAUGAGGUUAGUGCGAAGAAUCAAUUGCAAAAGUUCACGAGCCACAGGAAGUGCCACAGGCCGUCGUCGAACUGCAUGCAACCAUAGUCCAA
rnacentral:misc_RNA from 1 species